rnacentral:lncRNA from 1 species
GGGGUCGGUUCAAAUUUUUCACAUAAUUUUUUUUGUUGGCAACCCCCCCCCAUCAUUCUUAAAAACCAUAUAAUGACCCCUCCUAAGAACAGAGUUUGAAAAGUUUGACCCCCCUCGAAAAAAAAAUUCCAAUCAAUUAACACUUGUGAGAAGGUGAUGACUACCAGCUUCAUUGUAACAGGCUUUGAGAAACCCAGAGUAUAACAAAGAGUUUUUCUUCUUGAUUUUUUUUCUAAAAUAAG